rnacentral:rRNA from 1 species
CCCUUAGAUGCUCUGGGCCGCACGCGCGCUACACUGGUCGAUGCAACGAGUUUCUUUCCUUGGCCGACAGGCCUGGGCAAUCUUUGAACAUCGAUCGUGAUCGGGAUAGAUUCUUGUAAUUUUUGAUCUUAAACGAGGAAUUCCUAGUAAACGCAAGUCAUCAGCUUGCAUUGAUUACGUCCCUGCCCUUUGUACACACCGCCCGUCGCACCUACCGAUUGAAUGGUCCGGUGAAAUCUCCGGACUGGCGUGAGUCGGAGCAAUCUGACAAACACCGGAAAGUUGAUUAAACCUUACCAUUUAGAGGAAGGUGAAGUCGUGACA